rnacentral:rRNA from 1 species
GUGCCAGCAUCCGCGGUAAUACGAAGGGGGCAAGCGUUGUUCGGAAUUACUGGGCGUAAAGGGCGCGUAGGCGGUACUCUAAGUCGGACGUGAAAACUCUGGGCUCAACCCAGAGCCUGCAUCCGAAACUGGAGUGCUAGAGUUCUGGAGGGGGUAGCGGAAUUCCUGGUGUAGCGGUGAAAUGCGUAGAUAUCUGGAGGAACACCGGUGGCGAAGGCGGCAUCCUGGACCAACACUGACGCUGAGGAGCGAAAGCCAGGGGAGCAAACGGGAUUAGAAAACCCUGGUAGUCC